rnacentral:rRNA from 1 species
GUGCAGCAGGCGCGAAACCUCUGCAAUGUGCGAAAGCAUGACAGGGGCAUUCCAAGUGCUCUUGUUUUACAAGAGCUUUUCUCCGGUCCAAGACGCCGGAGGAAUAAGGGCUGGGUAAGACCGGUGCCAGCCGCCGCGGUAACACCGGCAGCUCGAGUGGUGGCCGCUAUUAUUGGGCCUAAAAGCGUUCGUAGCCGGGCAGGCAAGUGUUCUGGUAAAAUCCCAUAACUUAAUUAUGGGGCUUCAGAAUAUACUACCUGCCUUGAGACCGGGAGAGGCUGGAGGUACUUUCGGGGU